GAUGUACCUUUUGAAAUAGAAAACCAACAACUAAAUCUUCUCUAACACCAUGAUUUUCUAAUCUGUAUUAAAGCGUUCCAGAAGUAAGACAUAUCAAGAUUUAAAACAUAAAUAGCUUGGAACACCCUGAAGAGCAACAUGGGAGAAACUGAGAAAAGAAUUGAAACCCAUAGAAUAAGAUGUCUUUCCAAGUUGAAGAUGUUUCUGUUGGCAAUAACAUGUGCAUUUGUAUCCAAAACACUGUCUGGAUCUUAUAUGAAUUCCAUGCUCACACAAAUAGAGAGACAAUUCAACAUCCCAACAUCUCUAGUUGGAUUCAUUAAUGGAAGCUUUGAGAUUGGAAAUCUUUUGUUGAUUAUAUUUGUGAGUUAUUUUGGAACCAAACUGCAUAGACCUAUAAUGAUUGGCAUUGGAUGUGUGGUUAUGGGCUUAGGCUGUUUCUUAAAAUCACUACCUCAUUUCCUCAUGAACCAAUAUGAAUAUGAAUCUACAGUUUCAGUUUCAGGCAACUUGUCCUCAAACAGUUUCUUGUGUAUGGAAAAUGGAACCCAGAUUUUAAGACCAACGCAGGAUCCAUCAG
rnacentral:lncRNA from 1 species